CCUACGGGAGGCAGCAGUAGGGAAUCUUCCGCAAUGGACGAAAGUCUGACGGAGCAACGCCGCGUGAGCGAUGAAGGCCUUCGGGUCGUAAAGCUCUGUUGUUAAGGGAAGAACAAGUGCUAGUUGAAUAAGCUGGCACCUUGACGGUACCUUAACCAGAAAGCCACGGCUAACUACGUGCCAGCAGCCGCGGUAAUACGUAGGUGGCAAGCGUUAUCCGGAAUUAUUGGGCGUAAAGCGCGCGCAGGUGGUUUCUUAAGUCUGAUGUGAAAGCCCACGGCUCAACCGUGGAGGGUCAUUGGAAACUGGGAGACUUGAGUGCAGAAGAGGAAAGUGGAAUUCCAUGUGUAGCGGUGAAAUGCGUAGAGAUAUGGAGGACACCAGUGGCGAAGGCGACUUUCUGGUCUGUAACUGACACUGAGGCGCGAAAGCGUGGGGAGCAAACAGGAUUAGAUACCCUGGUAGUCCACGCGUAAACGAUGAGUGCUAAGUGUUAGAGGGUUUCCGCCCUUUAGUGCUGAAGUUAACGCAUUAAGCACUCCGCUCUGGCUGAAUCAUGAGUAGCGGCCGACAUAGCGACGUGAAACUCAACAGGAAUUGACGGGGGCCCGCACAAGCGGUGGAGCAUGUGGUUUAAUUGAAGCAACGCGAAGAACCUUAC
rnacentral:rRNA from 1 species